UCUUGAUGGACUAUGAACACUCAGCCACCAGCUUAUGGAUGCCAGUGACACAGUCCACUUUCAUAGAGGCAAAACCGGACUCUUUUGUUUUUCAUGAUUCUUCUGGUUGUUCUUGUAACGCCACCUCACAGCUUCAUUAUGAAGGCGGAAAAUAUUCUGCUGAGUCUUUACCUGUGUUUUGUGCCACUGCUAGUUGUGAGCAUAAGCUGUAUAUUUUGAUCUGACGCAGAGGAGGCUACCUGUGUGAGUGGUCAACCUCAAAUAGCAAGUGCCUUUGUUUUUUUUUUCCAGAAUAUUUGAUCACUCUGCUUGCAGGCCCCAAACCUCCCUGCCUUUCUGGGAAAAAUAGUUUUGAAAUAUGCACACACAGUUUUAACUGAUGUAGUUGUUGAUGUUUCACUUGUUGUGCGUUUUCUGUAUGAAUUGUUAAGUCACUGCCACAUGGUUUACUUCGAAGCUUGAAGUUGCAGUACUGUAGUUAAUUGCUGUUCAGGUGUUUGUUCAGAAAAAUCCAAUUAGUCAUGUGAGGAGAGGGGCACCCCUUUUAGGACUUAAUAUUGGCACAGGGUUAGCUGCUGCUGUGAUUCUGUUGUGUACAUCAGGGAUACAUGUUUCAUAGAGAAGCUGGAAUUUGCACAAAUAAAUGAUUUGAGUUCCACUGUAGUAGUGAAGAACUAAACCAAAUGAAGGACCUGACCUUUAUCCCAGACUUGAGUCAGUGAGCAUGGGAUGUUUUUCUUUUAAUUGUUUAGAAACAUAUUGACCUUAACGAUUUGAGUUUAUACAGAAAAAAAUGUAUUUAUUUUUGUUUAUGCAAAACACAAAUAAAUGUCUACUUACCUGCUGUUUUCCUGCCCUGCAGUAAAUUCUUGUAACAAGAAAGCUUAAUGGCAAAUUAAGAUACGUUUCGUCCAGGUAAUUAGUAAAUAUAAAUUAAUUCCACCUAAAUAGUUAGUAAAUGUAGUAAAUCACUUUUUUGCAGAUAUUUGGUAAAUCUAACUUACUUUUGUUCAGAUACCUAGUAAAUAAAAAAAAUUGCCAUAAUAUUAGUAAAUCCAAAAUAUUUCAGCUGAUAAUUUCAUUAUUUUGUACUUAAGUGUUUUGUUUAAAUGAACUUAAAUCAAUAGAUUUGUAGUACAUAAAAUCUAUUCAAUUAUAUUAAGGAUCACUUUCUUGCCAUAAUUUUUUUUAAGCAGCCAAUGGUCAAACUUUUUUGAGUGUGUGGAAGGUGGGACAGGGUGAAGAAGAUGAGACCAGAACAGAAGGAACCCAGACGUGAUGAACAGCUCCAGGAUCAGAGAAGACAUGAGUGAAGCGACAUGGACAUGGGUGACAUGGAAGAACAUGGGAAACUCUACGAUCUCAAGUGAUAAGAAGGACCCCAGAGGAGCCACAGAAUGAGAAACAAGAUGAGGAAAAGCCCCAGGACACAACAAAGAAGAGGAAACAGGCCGGGGAAGAGCAACAAGAUGAAGGAAGAUGAAUGGAAGAGCACAGUGAGACAUAAAAGUAGUAAUGAACUGACUCAAUUUCUUAACUGACUUGACUUCUGAAUCGAGAUGCAGUGAGUUGGUGGCAACUUCCGAUGUGCAGAUCUGUGAGGAGCAUCCCAAACCCACCAGCACAGAAGAAGUGAAUGGAAACAACAGCAUCCCCUGUGCUGGUCGGGCCCGGGCGGCCCUCGUCGUCUGGACAGGUGUAGAGGGUGGGGUCAGGGGUUGCUGUAUAUAACAGAAAUAGGACAGAAUGUGAGAAUUUUCUAACUACUCAACUACUUACUUUUACAAUCACAGUUCCAAAAUGAUUGGGACAAAACAAAACAGAAUGUGAUCAUUUGUUAAUCCUUUUUGACAUAUAUUCAGUUGAAAACAGCACAAAGGCAAUACAACCGCACUACCCUCCAGAUGGUCCUGCAGUAAUCCCUGUCAUCUGGUCCAUAUCUUUGUGCUUGUGGAAAUCCAAGGCUUGCACUUCUCAGGUCAGCAUCUGUGGAAACAAAAAAAAAAGAAAAAAACGGAAACUACAAAAACAAAACAACAAAAAAACAAAAAAACAACAAAAAUUAUUAAAUUAAUUGGAAAAAUUGCAGGAGAAUUUCACUGACAUUUUUCUGCAUUUUUUACUUACCUCUAAGCGUAACCAUCAAUACCUCAGGAAUACAAAAGAUCA